ACCCAUGCACACCCACACCCACACACACACACACACACACACACACACACACACACACACACACACACAUAAAUUCAAGAGUUGCUAUAUUACCGACAGUUUUCAAGAAGCACCAGCAGGAAGAGACGUAGUGGCAAGCCUUCACCGCAACACUCCACACUGCCUAAUCUUCGUCUAUUAAAGGCUCAGACGCGUGGAUGGAAGGAGUAGGAGGAAGACGAAGGAGUAUCAAUGGAGAAGGAUGAAGAAAAAAUGAGAAAUAAAGGUGGAAUAGGAGAAGAAGCCAAGGUGUAAUAUUUAGGUGACGACAGGCAGAAUGAGGUGGACGUGGCGGAGGCUGUGGGCGGUCAAUUCACGGCGCAGAUAACCUACACUUUGCACCACGCUGACUGCCCGCCCCUGUUCACUAAAGUCGGGCAAGCCUUUAUCUCCGUGUUCUGCCCUGGGUAUAGGAGUAAAAGUGGAAUAGUGGCAGAGUUGCAGACGACCCCCGCACGGAAGUGCAACAACAAUCAGUCAGUCAGUCAAUCACUCAGUCAGUUCUUCCACAGUGCUGGCAGUGGCAUACCUAAGCAGCGCAUGUGGGACGGCAUCAAUGAUUGCUGCAGUAACGGAGAGGAUGAGUUUGUGCAGCUGUGUGGCAUUGAGGAGUGUCGGGAGAAGAAUGUAGGGUGUGUGUGAGUCUGUUUACAUCAACACUCGAGAGUCAUACUUCUGCCAGUGCCGGCCAUGCAGGGUACAGACUCGUGUCGGAAAGUUCAAGUGUGAAGACGUUGACGAGUGCGUGGAGUCGCCCAGAUCUUCUCCCUGUGGACCAUCCCCUCAGCAGUGUUCGAUCCGCCCAGCAGCAGCAACGGUCAUGAGAAGGCGGUCAUUGAAGUGUCAAGUCCCCAAGCUGGCACGGUGGUGGGUGUUGUGUUAGGCUCCCUUAGGGUUCUUUCCCUAGCUGUUGGGUGUACAGAUGUUUGUUGGGUUCCUGAAGAUGCGUCGACGUGUUAUCAUCCACGCAAGCUUCCCCAACCCAGCCAGUGUACCACAAGACAACAGGCAUUGAGGAGGACGGGAGGCAGGCAUUGAGAAGGACGGGAGGAGGGAGCGAGCGGCUGCAUGCACUAUUGAACGGGACGGUAUUGUAUGAAUCGGUACUACUAACGCCAAAGAAGUGAGGGAAGUGUUUGGAUCGAGCGUGCAAGACGUACAACAGACACCAGACUGCUACUGCCGGUGUAGCCAAAGGAACAAGAGGAGGCAGAGGAGGAGGAGGAGGAAGAAGAAGAGGAACAAGAGAGUGAUUCUUGGAGACGUACCAAUGAAGUUCUGAAGAGACGGCCAACCCGUCAGGAAGUCAACUGAUCACGCAGGGACGCCAAAGAACGCCUGACUCCCGAUCUUUCUAAGAUUUCUGAUUGGGGCAGAGACAAUCUAGUAGUUUUCAAUGCCUCAAAAACUCAAUUCCUCCAUCUAUCAACUCAACACAACCUUUCAGACAGACGUUGACGGGUGCGUGUAGUCGCCCAGAUCCUCUCCCUGUGGAACCAUCCCCUCAACAGUGUUCGAUCCGCCCAGCAGCAGCAACGGUCAGGAGAAGGCGGUCAUUGAAGUGUCAAGUCCCCAAGCUGGCAUGGUGGUAGGUGUUGUGCUGGGCUCCCUUGGGGUUCUUUGUCUAGCUGUUGGGGUAAGUCAAAUAGUUUUUCACUCCUUUAUGCUCUGGGGUCUUGCUGUGUAUGUCUUUUUGCUGUGUUGUUCUGUGGCUAAGAUCUCGUAAUUAAGAUGUGCAUGUGAUUUCUCCAAAAUUUAAACAGUUCCCAAAUCAUUCUUGACACAUUGAAAAUAUUCCAAUACUGUAUAGUUAUUCGACUCAUACUUCAGAGGAUUUUUAUUUAUCUUUUUUUUUCUCACUUGCAACAUUUUUACUCUAAAGACGUUUGUCAAGUUGUUGAAGAUUCGUCGACGUGUUAUCAUUGUACCACACGGGCUGGGAUUUUCAUUGAAGGAAAAGUCUCUUCCAAGUCAAUUUUACAUAUAUUUCAAAUAUAGUAAAGUACAUUCGAACAAAAAACGAUGAAAGUGACUCGGCACUCUGAACCAACAACAGAGAAACACGAGAGGCACCCUUAACACACUCUCCCACUUGAAUACACCACUUAACUCCACAUAAUGACACCCUCGAUUAUAUUAACACGAAACUCCGCUGCCCUGAUCACAUUACCCACCUGAUCAGAGACCUUCGCUCACCGUGACGCGUCCACACCCCACCAAUGUUCGAGUAGAGAGUGCCACUCCCUUCUUCCGAGAUCGCGUCCUUUCCUGCCCCACACUCAAAUCUACUGCCCCGCGUGCCAAUUCACGCAAUGUUAAAUACCCUGCCUUCCUUAUUCUAUUCCUCCGUAUACAUGUUGUAGUACACUUCAUGCUAACACUAAUAUUUCUACCAUGCUCAACAUUCCAGAAUCCCUACUCAUAAAGUUCCUCCGCUCGUAUUAAUUAUGGGUUUGGUACGGCAGUUUUCUUCCUUAGGCCUACAGAGCCACCCACGCAAACCCGAUCCACCUUGGCUCUCCUUAAUAUACCAUACUUAUCGUUACAUCAUCC